CUCUCUCUCUCUCCUUGGCCAGUUGGCCUAUAAGUACAUAGCUUAAUUAGAGGCCAAUUCUCUCUCUCUCUCUCUCUCUCUCUCUCUCUUACACAUUAAGUAUAUUCCUUUCCAUCUCAAUACAACGAAGAGGGUCUUAAGUGUUUAGGAUCAUCAAAUGGUGCAAUCUAGUUUAUCUCUUCAAACAGCUAAUGUUUUAGAUUUUGGCUUGUUGCAGUGGUAUACAAGUGUUUGAAUGGCUUCCAGAAAUUUAUACUCGUAUUUACCGAGUUCCUAAGGGUGCAAAACAACUUUUUUCUAAAUGGAUCCAGGAUUGAAUCAAUGAUCUACCACAUUACAGCGUUGCCAGGGUGGGGUUCAGGAGUCUAGAGAGCAAAAAAAAGAGGAACCUUUGAUGUGUCAACGCAACGAUUGCCAAACGAGAAGGGUUUCCCACUUGGUGAGAAGACAACAAGAGCAAUCUCACAACCCACCAAGGUACACAGCUUAAUUGCUUGCCUUCUUGAAAAGGCCAGAUCGGUGCUCUGAGAUGGCGACCCAACGACAUGGCUUGUUUUCCAAUUUGUGGCUGCCUGAAAACAAGAAGAGUGAUCAUUAAGUGAUUGUUUUAAAUUUUUGCAACGAUAUGCAUAAUUUGAAUUUUUUAUCUUGUUAAAUACUAGUUAUUUUGAUUUUUUAAGUUGCCUUUAUAUUUUUGUCAUUCUGCCCUGAUAUUUUAAGGGUUCAAAGCGAAUUUUCGAAAUUCUGGCCC